rnacentral:rRNA from 1 species
GACGAACGCUGGCGGCGCGCUUAACACAUGCAAGUCGAGCGAUGAAACUUUAACAGAACCCUUCGGGGCGAAGAUAAAGUGGAUUAGCGGCGGACGGGUGAGUAACACGUGAGUAACCUGCCUUAGACAUUGGGAUAGCCUCGGGAAACCGGGAUUAAUACCAAAUAAAAUCAUAAUGACACAUGUCAUAACGCUAAAAACUCCGGUGGUCUAAGAUGGACUCGCGUCCCAUUAGCUAGUUGGUAGAGUAAAAGCCUACCAAGGCGACGAUGGGUAGCCGGCCUGAGAGGGUGAACCGCCACAUUGGAACUGAGAAACGGUCCAAACUCCUACGGGAGGCAGCAGUGGGGAAUAUUGCACAAUGGAGGGAACUCUGAUGCAGCGACGCCGCGUGAACGAAGAAGGCUUUCGAGUCGUAAAGUUCUUUUAUAUGGGAAGAUAAUGACGGUACCAUAAGAAAAAGCCCCGGCUAACUACGUG